UCAGGUGCCUAUAUCGGCGGUGUCCACCUCUUCCCAUUCCGAACAGAGAAGUUAAGCCCGCCAGAGCCGAUGGUAUUGCCGUAACAGGUGGGAGAGUAGGUCGGUGCCUAAU
rnacentral:rRNA from 5 species